UCUUCGUUUGUGAUAAGCCAGAGGCUUAAUCCAAGCCCCACACAAAGAGCUCUCCAGCAAUGGCCAUUCUCGCUUUUCCCUUAGUCAUUUCCUUUCUCAGGCCCAACGCUCCUCACUUCGCUCUCCUCCGUCUCGCUAAGCCCAAUGUUACCUCCACGCGCCGCUGCCGCCUUUGAACCGCCGCCACUUCCGUCAAACAACCACCGCCGCUGCUCUUCACACUUCUUCAAUUCAAAAAAAUUCCUCAACAGACUCCGGUGAUGGAGAGCGGAAGAAAGCUCUUGUUCUCACUUUUCAACAAGCUAUUCAAAGACUCCAGGAAUAUUGGGCGUCGGUUGGAUGUGCUAUAAUGCAAUGCAGCAACACUGAGGUUGGAGCCGGAACAAUGAAUCCAUUAACAUACUUAAGAGUUCUUGGUCCAGAACCAUGGAAUGUUGCGUAUGUGGAACCUAGCAUCCGGCCAGAUGAUAGUCGUUAUGGAGAAAACCAUAACAGGCUCCAACGCCACACUCAGUUUCAGGUUUGUGUGGUUUAUUGAGUAGAUCGUUUUAUGGUAUUUUAUUGACUUA